AAAGGUAUAAUAAAAAGGACUUCUAAUCUAUUUUUCCCUAACGGGGUGCCUUUA
rnacentral:tRNA from 1 species